GCUUGUCUCAAAGAUUAAGCCAUGCAUGUCUAAGUAUAAGCCUUUAUAUGGUGAGACUGCGAAUGGCUCAUUAAAUCAGAAACUGUUUAUUUGAUAGUGCCUACUACAUGGAUACCUGUAGUAAUUCUAGAGCUAAUACAUGCAAAAAGCCUGGACUUCUGGAACAGGCGUAUUUAUUAGAUAUACAAACCAACCGCUUCGGCGACCCUUGGUGAUUCAUAAUAACUCGCGGAUCGGUUUACCGAUGCAUCAUUCAAGUUUCUGCCCUAUCAGCUUUGGAUGGUAGGGUAUUGGCCUACCAUGGCUUUAACGGGUAACGGAGAAUUAGGGUUCGAUUCCGGAGAGGGAGCCUGAGAAAUGGCUACCACAUCCAAGGAAGGCAGCAGG
rnacentral:rRNA from 1 species